UGAGUAACCUGCCCUUAACUCUGGGAUAAGCCUGGGAAACUGGGUCUAAUACCGGAUAUGACUCCUCAUCGCAUGGUGGGGGGUGGAAAGCUUUAUUGUGGUUUUGGAUGGACUCGCGGCCUAUCAGCUUGCUGGUGAGGUAAUGGCUCACCAAGGCGACGACGGGUAGCCGGCCUGAGAGGGUGACCGGCCACACUGGGACUGAGACACGGCCCAGACUCCUACGGGAGGCAG
rnacentral:rRNA from 1 species